ACGGGUGAGUAACGCGUGGGGAACCUGCCCCAUACCGGGGGAGUAACAGCCGGAAACGGCUGCUAAUACCGCAUAAGCGCACAGUACCGCAUGGUACGGUGUGAAAACUCCGGUGGUAUGGGAUGGACCCGCGUCUGAUUAGCCAGUUGGCGGGGUAACGGCCCACCAAAGCGACGAUCAGUAGCCGGCCUGAGAGGGCGACCGGCCACAUUGGGACUGAGACACGGCCCAGACUCCUACGGGAGGCAGCAUG
rnacentral:rRNA from 1 species